rnacentral:rRNA from 1 species
UACGUAGGGUGCAAGCGUUUGUCCGGAAUUAUUGGGCGUAAAGAGCUCGUAGGCGGUCUGUCGCGUCGGCUGUGAAAACCCGAGGCUCAACCUCGGGCCUGCAGUCGAUACGGGCAAACUAGAGUACUGCAGGGGAGACUGGAAUUCCUGGUGUAGCGGUGAAAUGCGCAGAUAUCAGGAGGAACACCGGUGGCGAAGGCGGGUCUCUGGGCAGUAACUGACGCUGGAGGAGCGAAAGCGUGGGGAGCAAACAGG